rnacentral:rRNA from 1 species
GAUGAACGCUGGCGGCGUGCCUAAUACAUGCAAGUCGAGCGAACAGACGAUGAUCUUGCGCCUCUCUCGUUAGCGGCGGACGUGUGAGUAACACGUGGAUAACCUCCCUAUAAUUCUGGUAUAACUUCGGGAAACCGGAGCAAAUACCGGAGAAUAUAUUGAACCACAGUGGUCAAUGGUGAAUGACGGUUUUGCGGUCUCUUAUAGAUGGUUCCCCGCCGCAUGAUCUGGUUGUUAAGUUAACGGCUUACCAAGGGAACGAGGCGUAGCCGACGUGAGAGGGUGAUCGCCGGCACUGGAAGGUGGCCAGGCACAAUAGUCCUAAGGGAGGGCGCAGUAGGGAACGUUCGGCAAUGGGGGAAAGCCUGACGGAGUAGCGCCGAGUGGGAGAUGAAAGUCUUGGGAUCGUAAAACUGUGUUAUUAGGGAAGAACCAAUGUGUAAGUAAAUAUAGACGUAUUGACGGUACCUGAUAAGAAAGCCACGGCUAACUACGUG